rnacentral:rRNA from 1 species
ACUAGAGUCUUGUAGAGGGGGGUAGAAUUUCAGGUGUAGCGGUGAAAUGCGUAGAGAUCUGAAGGAAAACCGGUGGCGAAGGCGGCCCCCUGGACAAAGACUGACGCUCAGAUGCGAAAGCGUGGGGAGCAAACAGGAUUAGAUACCCUGGUAGUCCACGCCGUAAACGAUGUCUACUCGGAAUUUGGUACCUU